GCGUCUGAUUAGGUAGUUGGUGAGGUAAUGGCUCACCAAGCCGACGAUCAGUAGGGGUUCUGAGAGGAUUACCCCCCACACUGGUACUGAGACACGGACCAGACUCCUACGGGAGGCAGCAGUGAGGAAUAUUGGUCAAUGGCCGGAAGGCUGAACCAGCCAUCCCGCGUGCAGGAUGACGGCCCUAUGGGUUGUAAACUGCUUUUGUACCUGAAGAAACCUGGUUACGAGUAACCAGUUGCCGGUAAGGUAUGAAUAAGCAUCGGCUAACUCCGUGCCAGCAGCCGCGGUAAUACGGAGGAUGCAAGCGUUAUCCGGAUUCAUUGGGUUUAAAGGGUGCGCAGGUGGGAAAAUAAGUCAGUGGUGAAAUACUGCCGCUUAACGGUAGAAUUGCCAUUGAUACUGUUUUUCUUGAGUAUGGUUGAGGUAGGUGGAAUGUGUUGUGUAGCGGUGAAAUGCAUAGAUAUGACACAGAACGCCGAUUGCGAAGGCAGCUUACUAAGCCAUUACUGACGCUGAGGCACGAAAGCGUGGGGAUCAAACAGGAUUAGAUACCCUGGUAGUCCACGCCGUAAACGAUGAUCACUCGCUGUUUGCGAUAUACAGCAAGCGGCUGAGCGAAAGCAUUAA
rnacentral:rRNA from 1 species